rnacentral:tRNA from 1 species
GUCUUGGUAGUGCAAGGGAUAAGAGCACGGUGUCCGGAUAGCACGGGUACGGGUUCGAAUCCUGUCCAGGGCC